CCUACGGGAGGCAGCAGUGGGGAAUAUUGGACAAUGGGGGGAACCCUGAUCCAGCCAUGCCGCGUGUGUGAAGAAGGCCCUCGGGUUGUAAAGCACUUUCAGUGAGGAAGAACGCCUGGUGGUUAAUACCCAUCAGGAAAGACAUCACUCACAGAAGAAGCACCGGCUAACUCCGUGCCAGCAGCCGCGGUAAUACGGAGGGUGCGAGCGUUAAUCGGAAUUACUGGGCGUAAAGCGCGCGUAGGUGGCUUGAUAAGCCGGUUGUGAAAGCCCCGGGCUCAACCUGGGAACGGCAUCCGGAACUGUCAAGCUAGAGUGCAGGAGAGGAAGGUAGAAUUCCCGGUGUAGAGGUGAAAUGCGUAGAGAUCGGGAGGAAUACCAGUGGCGAAGGCGGCCUUCUGGACUGACACUGACACUGAGGUGCGAAAGCGUGGGUAGCAAACAGGAUUAGAUACCCGGGUAGUC
rnacentral:rRNA from 1 species